UGGCAGAACUGUUAGCACACUGAGCAAAAUGCUUAUGGUAUUUUGUCCACUGCUAUGUUCUGAGUUCAAAUUCCAACGAGGUCAACUUUGCCUUUCAUCCUUUCGGGGUUGAUAAACUAAGUCCAAUCAAACACUGGGGUUGCUGUUAUCAACUAGUUCCCUCCCCCAAAA